CCCAGUCAACUAUAAUUAGGUUUAUAUUUCGGCUAUAAAUAGGAGUCUACAGGCUCGGCUGGGU
rnacentral:tRNA from 1 species